rnacentral:rRNA from 1 species
UACGGAGGGUGCUAGCGUUGUUCGGAAUCACUGGGCGUAAAGGGCGUGUAGGCGGUCUGUUAAGUCUGAUGUGAAAUCCCCUCGCUCAACGAGGGAACUGCGUCGGAUACUGGCAGACUCGAGUACCGGAGAGGAAGGUGGAAUUCCCGGUGUAGUGGUGAAAUGCGCAGAUAUCAGGAGGAACACCGGUGGCGAAGGCGGGUCUCUGGGCCGAUACUGACGCUGAGGAGCGAAAGCGUGGGGAGCGAACAGG